rnacentral:pre_miRNA from 1 species
AUCAUACUCCCUCCGUCCCAAAUUACUUGUCGCAAGUAUGGAUGUAUCUAGAUGUAUUUUAGUUCUAGAUACAUCCAUUUCUGCGACAAGUAAUUUGGGACGGAGGGAGUACUUG